AUUGCCCUAGUAACGGCGAGUGAAGCGGCAACAGCUCAAAUUUGAAAUCUGGCCCUCUUGGGGGUCCGAGUUGUAAUUUGUAGAGGGUGCUUUGGCGUUGGCCCCGACCUAAGUUCCUUGGAACAGGACGUCACAGAGGGUGAGAACCCCGUACGUGGUCGUCGGUCUUCGCCGUGUAAAGCCCCUUCGACGAGUCGAGUUGUUUGGGAAUGCAGCUCUAAAUGGGAGGUAAAUUUCUUCUAAAGCUAAAUAUUGGCCAGAGACCGAUAGCGCACAAGUAGAGUGAUCGAAAGAUGAAAAGCACUUUGGAAAGAGAGUCAAAAAGCACGUGAAAUUGUUGAAAGGGAAGCGCUUGCAGCCAGACUUGCCUGUAGUUGCUCAUCCGGGCUUUUGCCCGGUGCACUCUUCUGCGGGCAGGCCAGCAUCAGUCCAGGCGGUCGGAUAAAGGCCUUGGGAAUGUGGCUCUCUUCGGGGAGUGUUAUAGCCCAGGGUGCAAUGCGGCCAGCUUGGACUGAGGUCCGCGCAUCUGCUAGGAUGCUGGCGUAAUGGCUGUAAGCGGCCCGUCUUGAAACACGGACCAAGGAGUCUAACAUCUAUGCGAGUGUUUGGGUGUCAAGCCCGAGCGCGUAAUGAAAGUGAACGGAGGUGGGAACCCCUCGGGGUGCACCAUCGACCGAUCCUGAUGUCUUCGGAUGGAUUUGAGUAAGAGCAUAGCUGUUGGGACCCGAAAGAUGGUGAACUAUGCCUGAAUAGGGUGAAGCCAGAGGAAACUCUGGUGGAGGCUCGCAGCGGUUCUGACGUGCAAAUCGAUCGUCAAAUUUGGGCAUAGGGGCGAAAGACUAAU
rnacentral:rRNA from 1 species